rnacentral:rRNA from 1 species
UACGUAGGGAGCGAGCGUUGUCCGGAUUUAUUGGGCGUAAAGCGCGCGUAGGCGGUUUGGUAAGCCGGGUGUGAAACCCUCGAGCUCAACUCGGGGCGGCCACUCGGAACUGUCAUGACUUGAGUCAGGUAGGGGAACACGGAAUUCCAGGUGUAGCGGUGAAAUGCUUAGAUAUGACAUAGAACACCGAUAGCGGAGGCAGCUUACUACGCGAUUAUUGACACUGAGGCACGAAAGCGUGGGGAUCAAACAGG